GCGAUCCUUUCGAUCCUCGGAGCUUUUCAGAACUGUCCGGAUCGUCCGAGAGACUCGACUUCCGCCGAAUUUUCCUGUUCGCGGAGACUAAAACCACGACUGGUUACAAGGUUCAUCGUUUGCUUCUGCGUUGCGUCAGAGUUUAUGCAACCUGUUAAUGGGACUUUCUCAUGGAGCGGACCAUCUCGAAGAAAAAAGAAAAAAUGAAAGAACACAGGAGGAUAUUCUUAUUCGUGAUAGCAGGUGCCCAGGAAUUCUAGAACGUGGUAUCGGUUAUCGGUAACCUAAUCGUGUGACACAGAACGAGAAACAAGAAGUCACGGUGAUCCGGCGACGACGCUUCGGCUCUGUCGAACCCAGCAGAUGGCGAGGUUAGAUGGAUAUUGCAUCGGCAGAGGCUAGAGAUUCUCGAAAACAAUCGGAAUAGAUGUUCCGAGUUGCAGCCCGAUGCGAAUUCUGAUAAGGGAAUCGACAACACCCAGAGAUAGCAGGAAAGGAGCGUGAUUCAUUCGGAGAGCAAGGGGAGCGUCCGAGGAUGACGAAAGCAUUAUCGACGGGAAUUCAUUUCGCUAUCUAAAUUAGCAGACCGGAAGAAAGACCGCGAGUUGCGUUUCGCUGAAAAGGAAACGCGCGCUCUCGCCGCCGAGACGACGGAACGCGUUUGAACACACGUGUUAGAUUUCGUAGGAUGCUUGGCAAGUUUUGGCGGACGAGCGUAGAAGCACGCGAACGUCGUCGAUCCGUCAUAAUUUUCGAGCGACAGGGUUCAAACGGGGCAAUUGGAAAUAAUUCGUAGCGACUGAAAGGUGCAGAGACCCAACGUGACACGCUCUCUUCGAAAGGGGUGGACUUUUCCAAUUGGAACAUAUACAGGUCGUAGCACCUACGCAAGUAUGUACCUAUAAACCUUGAUGCAACCAUGCGACACCGGAAUCGAUAAUCGCAAAGAACUCGUGCGGUUUCCUGGUCUUCGGUUCAAACGAGACAUUUUCUCCUAUCGAUAAUUGCGAUUUUCGCAACACCGACGCGAUCGUCGAAAAUCGAUCGAGACACGCGAUACGUGUCCGAACGAGAGACGAUAUUCUAUCCCUGGAUCGAUACGAUGCUGUUUACCAACAAUCGAGGAAAAAAGUUUUGCACAUACACACAAGACAAUACACAGCCGAGUUGUUACGUUCGUAAUUACCGGAACGACUGUGCGAUAACUCCGACAUUUCUCUGCGACCAUUUCAAAGCAAUUUCGAAGCCCGUGGGGUAUUCGAAUAAACAGUUUUUCCUGUGGACGAUACGUGUGGCAUUAUGUCAUGGACGAGUCGCAACUCUCGAACGGCAACAUUCGUAAACCGAUUACGUUGCAUCGUUAGCAGACAACUUGGCGCGGUCACGACGGAAACAGAGGGGACUGCUGCUUUCAUCGGAGACGUCUGUUAUCGAUAAGAAUCUUGUCCUGCAAAAACUUUCACCGUUACACUCGACUAGAAAUUCGAAUCGGACCGUGUCGAGUAUCGACGAGCAACAAUUAUUUGCGAAUUCAUGCGCCGGCAUCGAUGGACACAACCUAAUCUCACAGCAACGCGAUAUAUGUAUAGCGAUAUCGUUUAACAAACUGUUUGCCUGUAGAAUCAGGGCUGGAAUCGCGUGGAUUACCAAGUUACGAGCGAUCUAUGGCGACGGUUUCGACGGGAUCCGGCAAAAUUUCGUACGACAAGAAAGACGGAAGGGAAAGGAUCGUUCUCAAAUGUAUAGGCAAAUUCGACCGUUAUCAGCACCCAUGUACGCGCGUUAUUAACGUAAGCGCGGUGACGGAUAUGUAACGUGACGGCAGGUGCUUUGCAACGAACCAUGGAAUCGAUACGAACACCUCUCUCGCGUGCAGUUCUGCCCAUGUUCCCAACAGAAAUUAGACCCAUCUUUUUCUUUUCCUUUCUUUCGCGUCUCCGCGUGGAACUCGUUCGUUUCGAUCGAGAAUGGAAGCAUCGUCAGCGAAUUGAUAAACAGAGAACACCGUGACCGUUCGCGAUGCCAAAUUCUCGAUGACGCAUAUACCGAUUCUUUCGUUGGCCCUGUUGGUUUACAAACGGCUGAACGUUUUCGAACGAACGUGUCAAAAGUAUUCGAUCGAUAACCGAACGUUUUUUUUUAGUCUGUUUCGGUCCGGUCCCGCAGGAUUCCGAAUUCCACGGAAAAUAAACGAUUAAUCGUGAAACGAGCCGCUUUCCUCCGUGUUACGCCUCGAAAUGGAAAGUAACCCGUGAACGUGCACGGGUUCCAGGGUGGGGGUGGGAUGCAUGAAAGGUGAUUCCCGUGUAUCAGACAUGACUAAUACAGUAACGUCAACACCUC